rnacentral:rRNA from 1 species
UAGGAGAGCGGGAGAGGCAGACGGUAUUCUGCGGGUAGGGGUAAAAUCCUUUGAUCCAUAGAAGACCACCAGUGGCGAAGGCGGUCCGCCAGAACGCGCUCGACGGUGAGGGAUGAAAGCUGGGGGAGCGAACCGGAUUAGAUACCCGGGUAGUCCCAGCUGUAAACGAUG